UACGGAGGGUGCAAGCGUUAUCCGGAUUCACUGGGUUUAAAGGGUGCGUAGGCGGACAGGUAAGUCAGUGGUGAAAUCUCUGGGCUUAACCCAGAAACUGCCGUUGAUACUAUUUGUCUUGAAUAUCCUGGAGGUAGGCGGAAUAUGUCAUGUAGCGGUGAAAUGCUUAGAUAUGACAUAGAACACCGAUAGCGAAGGCAGCUUACUACAGGAUGAUUGACGCUGAGGCACGAAAGCGCGGGGAUCAAACAGG
rnacentral:rRNA from 1 species